UAGCGCGGUGGUCCCACCUGACCCCAUGCCGAACUCAGAAGUGAAACGCCGUAGCGCCGAUGGUAGUGUGGGGUCUCCCCAUGUGAGAGUAGGGAACUGCCAGGCA
rnacentral:rRNA from 13 species